AUAGCCACGCAGCCUGGGUCGUGCCUGAUCUCAGAAGCUUGGGUAGUACUGGGAUGGAGGACCAUUUGGGAAUAUCAGGUACUGUGGCUACC
rnacentral:rRNA from 1 species